UGACAACAGUACUGUACCCCCGCCAACAGAGGGCAGUUUAGGAUGUAGUACUGUUGUCAGCCAACAGAGGUUUUCAUUCUCACCUUGUACUUGAUUGAUUAAUAAGGUUACUAAUUGGUUAGUUUCGACCCUCACCUGGUCAUUCAGAUCUGAAAUGUGAGGGUAUAGGGCAGUGCAGUGUGUAAUACUGUUGUCAGCCACAGAUGGCAAUUCAGGGUGUAAUACUUUUGUCAGCCAACAGAUGGCAGUACAGGGUGUAAUACUGUUACACCCUGAGUGUCAGGACCUGAGUGGAUCGGUUUUCCAAGAUGAUCCGGUUCGUUCCACUACCCGGGCCUCUCUGCUGCACUCCAGUUCGCUGAAGUGCUGUUUCUGCUGGUUUUCUGGCUGUAUGGACUUCCGGGGACAUCGUUUCCAACCCCGGCCAACCACUCUUCCAGGUGGUCCUUGGGUUCCAGCCUCUGCUUCUCCCCUGGUUUCCAGCAACGUCCAGGCCGAGGAGAAAUGGUUCAGGAAGUCCAAUGAGGUCUUAUCUGCUGCCCAUGUCUGCCUACAGGAGGCAGUGCAGCAUCAGAAAAUGCAGACCGACCAUCAGUGGAGCCAUGCCCCGGAGUUCUGCCCGGGGGACCUUCCGCUCCGUCAGCUCAGUUGUCGGUGGUUCCUGGUCUGCUGGGGGGAUCCGGUCCCACAGUGGCAUCUCUGCCUCCGGUGGAGGUAGCAGGGGCUCUGGCGUACAAAGUGGAGGUGAUUCUGGACUCCUGACUAUGGCGCGGCUCGGUCCAGUACCUGGAGGACUGGGCGGGAUACGGUCCCGAGGAGUAGAACUGGGAGCCGAGUUCCAUGCCGCUUCCCGGAUCGGCCUGCUCCCGGCCCACGGGACCACCCGGGUCGUCGGCAGGUGGCAUCAUCAGGAGCUCCGCCUGGUGUUGCAUGCUCUCUCCCUCUCUGGCGUACUAACUGCCCGGCUGGAUGACAAAUUAGUUGUUUCUGCUUUUAUCUUUAGCACACUGGCCACACACAGAACAACUUGUCACCUCAGCUACAGCAUCAUACUGUAGCCAGCCUCUUGAAACUCCUCUAUCUCUAAACCUCCAAAUAUCACAGAACUUUUUUUUCUAUGUCUUUUUUUUUAAUGUAUUGCAAUAGCGUCAUGACAAUACUUCCAUCCAUCCAUCAUCUUCCGCUUAUCCGGGGCCGGGUCGCGGGGGCAGCAGUCUAAGCAGGGAUGCCCAGACUUCCCUCUCCCCAGACACUUCCUCUAGCUCUUCCGGGGGGACACCGAGGCGUUCCCAGUCCAGCCGGGAGACAUAGUCCCUCCAGCGUGUCCUAGGUUUUCCCCAGGGUCUCCUUCCGGUGGGACGGGACCGGAACACCUUCCCAGGAAGGCGCUCCGGAGG
ensembl:lncRNA